rnacentral:tRNA from 5 species
GGGACAUUAGCUCAAUUGGCAGAGCAUUCGACUCUUAAUCGACAGGUUGUAGGUUCGAUUCCUACAUGUCCCA